ensembl:lncRNA
AUGCAAGAAUUUAAGGUUAGAGGCAACAUUUCUUUAAAAAUUCAUUUGAUUGUUUUCCACUUCAGUCAUUCAAAUCAGGAAAGCACCUUCCUCAACACAUAUCAGAAUGGAGCACCUACCUUAUUUGAAGCAGAUACUCAAAUGGAAAACUACAGCAGCACCCAGCAGGCUCCAUUGCAGCAUGUUUCCUGGUUCUUCUGUAAUAUGUUCCAUCAGAGUUCUGAUUUCACAGUUGCUGUGGUUUAUUUUCUCAAUAUGUGUGAAGGAAAAGGAAAGAACACAGUAUCUUCCCUGUUAAGCAAUCCUACAACACACCAAGUAACCAAAGGCUGUAACUGCAGUAACCCAGCUUAUGGUUACUGGACCCAAUGGUGCCUGCAUCCUUCCGUGAAAACACUCCUGCUGAAUGCAGUCAUCAAAGAGGCUCUGGGAAACCCAGAAGUCUCAACUCUUCAGUCUCUUGGCCAGGAACUCCCUUAUUUUAUAGUAAUUAAAAAAUAACUAAAUUAUUGACUUGCAAGUGAUUUGUACAGAACUGCCUAAGCAAAGUAUGACAAUAUGAUGAUUGAAAUUCCGUGUUUCACUAAUUAUUUCACAUCCAUGACCUUAUUUGGUUCUCAAGAUGACCUUGGGAGACAAAAAAGAGAAUGGUGGUAAUAAGUCUAUUUAAUGCAGAAAAAAAGUUAAGAUACAUACUGAGAUGAUAACAAAGAUGGAAUUCAUAUUAGAUACCCUGGCUUGUGGUUCUGUGUUCUUUUUACUAUAACUCUUUUCUGUAUAAUAUUCUUUGCUUCUCCAACUUCUUUUAUGUUGUUCUUAAUAUUGUUUUAACAUUUACUGACUCUUUUCCUAAAUGUAAGGACCAUGCCUUAGGAAGUUUUAUAUUUAAUAUAAUUUCUAAUACCUAAGAGGCCUCAAGGAAUAUGUAUUGGAUUGGAAUAAGUGAUCUUGUAGUCAUACUGUUGUGAUUUUGUUUGGGUCUUCAUGUUCCCUGCAUUUAUUCCAUGAGAAAUAAGCCUGCCUGAAGUCCCAGUAGUAGUUUGGAAGAUAUUAAAAAUCCAACUCACUGCCUUGCAUCAGCCAAAGAAGAUGAUUAUUCAGGAAAUUUAAAAUUUAACACCCCAAAACAUAAAUGCCAGUCACCCUAAGGGUUAUAAAACAGUGCAAGCAGCCUUAAGUGGAAACAGCUGUUCACAACCCACAGAGUUGCAGCUUUCUAAAGAUGUCACAUAUACAUACAGUUUGUUAACCUGAAUGAACAAGAUGCUGAUGUUUCUUGGGGAGGCUGCAGGUCAAUCCUGAUGGCCAUCCAAUUGGCAGGGGCAGUCCUAACCCUCUCCAAAUACAGCCCUCCCCUCUCCCCUGAACUGGCCUCUCUGCUGGCUAAACACAGCCGGACCUCAGGCAGAGUCCAGACUGAGUCCCAUCACUUCUCAUGGUGGGACCUGCCCACCUUUCUCCUUGGUUGCAGCCUCUGGGCCAAUGAUCCUGGGCUGGGUUGGAGUUGGAGCUAGACCCUCAUUUUCUUAUUCCUCAUUUUGGUUUUUCAUGGCCAUGGGUAGUAGCUAGAGCUUAGUUCUUUGCUUCAUUCCCUUAUGGGAACCUGAAAAUUUCAGUGAAUGAUGUUGAGCUAUUUAUAACACCUGGACUAGAGUCAUCAUCUAGUGCUGAAACUCUGAAACCUACCCACUUUGAGAAAAAGCUGUGAUAACUGAGCUCUUCUAACUGAGCUCCAGUAAAUCUGCAAAGGAAAAUCAUUUAAAUCUUUUAAUAUCCAUGUGGAAGGGACUACCUUUUCUCCCCCCCAAAAACAUAAAAUACACUUAACAAUUUCUUCCUGAGAGCAGUAAUUCUUAAUUCUAGAGGCAUUCCUCAGUCAGUUUGACUGCUAUAACAAAAUACCAUAGACUGGGUGGCCUAAACAACAUGGAUUUCUCACAGUUCUAGCGGCUGGAAGAUCAGAGUGCCAGCAUGGUGGACUUCUUUGUGAGAGAACUCUGCUUGGUUGUGUCCUCACAUGGCACGUUAUAUCUUUCUUGGUGUGUAUAAGCAGGGGGAGAAAGAGCAAUCUCCUGUCUCCUCCUCUUUUUAUAAGGGCACUGAUUGCAUCAUCAGGGCCCCACCCUUAUGACUUAAUCUAAUUCUGCUUAUCUCCCCAAAGCCCCACGUCCAAAUACCAUUACACUAGGUAUUAUUAAUAGGAUUUCAACAUAUGAAUUUUGAGGGGAUACAAACAUUUGGUCCAAAGCAAUGCCAAUGCACAAUUAGAAUCAUUUGAGGAGCUUUUUAAAUUACUAAUAAUUAGGCUCCUUUCUCCCAGACCAAUUACAUUAGAAUCUCAAGAGAGUGGGGCUUGAGAUUGCACAUUUCUAAGAAGCUCCCAAAUGACUAUCAACUACAGAUUAGCAUUUGCCGGGAGCAUUUGCCACCUGCCAAUGCAGAGACUGAAUUCUGUGCUGCUGCAGCUGUUGACCCUCAACAUGCCCUGAAGGAAGUUCAGGGUGGAGAGUGAGGCACUCUGUGCUCCAGGGAAACUGGGGAACAAGUCUUUAGAUAUUUUCAGGAACUGAUUUCAUGAUCCCAGUCCUUUCAUUUCCUCCUAUCUCGAAAAGCUUUCAUGGUGACAUGAGCCCCUGGUGACUAUUACUUACUUUUGUAAAGUAAGCAUUGAUUGCAUUGAUCACCUUCACCAAAAUCUUAUGCCCAUGUGACACAAUUACUAAAGCCCGCCAACCUAGAGUCCAUGCUCUGCAACGAGAGAAGCAGCCAAAAUGAGAUGCUCACACGCCGCAACUACAGCGUAUCCCCCACUCACCACAGCUAGAGAAUGCCUGCAUGCAGCAAUGAAGACCUAUCACAGCCAAAAAUCAAUAAACAAAUUUUCAAAUUAACUGGAAGGUUUCUAACAUACAGAUUGUUAGGCCCCACUUUAGACUUAAGGAUUCAGUAGGUGAUGUUGAUAUGGUUGGUCUGGAGAUCCCACUUUGAAAUCACUGCAGUGUGCCCUGGCCCCAUCAGCACCGCUCCUGCUUUUUUUGUCCUCCUAACUCCAUUGUGGUUGCAAUAGUGAAAGUCCGAGAGGACAGAAAGAACAACCAAGGAAGACAGGUAGAAAACCCCAUCUCUCGACUGUGCUUGGAUCUGGGUCUUUAUGUUGUUAUUGUUGUUUAGUCCCUCAGUCCUGUCUGACUCUUUGCCACUCCAUGGAGGCAGCACGUCAGGCUUCCCUGUCCUUCACCAACUCCCGGAACUUGCUCAAACUCAUGUCCAUCGAGUUGGUGAUGUCAUCCAACCAUCUCGUCCUCUGUCAUCCCCUUCUCCUCCCGCCUUCAAUCUUUCCCAGCAUCAGGGUCUUUUCCAAGGAGUCAGUUCUUUAAAUCAGGUGGCCAGAGUAUUGGAGCUUCAGCUUCAGCAUCAGUCCUUCCAAUGAAUAAUCAGGGUUGGUUUCCUUUAGGAUGGACUGGUUUGAUCUCCUUGGUGCCCAAGCGAUUCUCAGAAGUCUUCUCCAAAAACCACAGUUUGAAAGCAUCAAUUCUUUGGCGCUCAGGCUUCUUUAUGGUCCAACUCUCACAUUCAUACAUGACUACUGGAAAAAGCAUAGCUUUGACUAUACAAACCUUUGUCGGUAAUGUCUCUGCUUUUUAACACACUGCCUAGGUUUGUCAUAGCUUUUCUUCCAAGGAGUAAGCGUCUUUUAAUUUCACAGCUGCAGUCACUGUCUGCAGUGAGUUUUGGAGCCCAGGAAAAUAAAGUGCUUGAUUGCAUUCUGUUUAGUCAACUCCAGAAUUUGGAUCAAGGCAGCUGGCAGUCUGACUCUCUCCACAGUCCCCAUUCAUCUGUCACAGUUUUACCAAAUGGGAGCCAGCCUCGCAUUCACUUGGGCUUCCUCAUAAGCAGCCACUCAAUUCCCAAAGAAAAUAGGCAACUCCCCUGGCCCUAAGUGUUUGGAACUCUGUAGUGAGUGAUUAAAGACAGCUGUGACAUAAAAGAGAGCGCGAAGUAUUACAACUCCAGUGUUCGUGACAGCCCAGGGUUUUGUGGCUUAGCUGGUAAAAUAUCUGCCCGCAGUGUGGGAGACGUGGGUUUGAUCCCUGGGUUAGGAAGAUCCCCUGGAGAAGGGAAAGGCUACCAAAUCCAGUAUUCUGGCCUGGAGAAUUCCAUGGACUGUAUGGUCCAUGGGGUCACAAAGAGUCGGGCACAACUAAAAGACUUUCACUUUCACUUUACUUUCACUUUUCAGGGCAGUCCAGGCUGCACUAACCAACUGCCCUGGCUAGCUGGACUUUGGCGUGAGCAAUUACUAAGUAGGGUGAUUCCAUCAGGGAAAGUCAAAAUUCCAUUUCUAGGGGUUAAUAGAAAUCAAUCAGUUUCCACAAACUUCUGCAGAGUUAUUAGAAAAUAUGGGGUUCAGCCACUAACAACAUUCAAACCACUGACUAGAAGAGAAUGAAACAAGAUUACAGAACAAGGCACAGACCUGGAUUAGCUCUCUCUUAACCUCUGUCUUAACCUCUUUCAACUCUCAUAGCUGAGUGGACCCAAUAGGUCAAGUCUGGUUUUUACAAUUUGCUGAGCUUAAUUCUUUGAAUCUUGACUAUUUAAAAGUCUCCAUGUGUCACCUAGUGAAAACUUUUUGAGCUGAAAAAUGUGCUGUUUCAUCUAUUCUGCAGGGUCUGACCACUGUUGAGUAAAGGGGAAAAUACAAACAUAUACAAUGUACUCCAGUGCUUCUCUGAUAUUAAUGGGCAUUUGAAUCACUGAGGGAGCAGGGUAAAAUGAGUUGUAAAAUAGCCUUGAGUAGAGCCUGAGAUUCUUUGAAAAGCACUUGAAUCUAUCCCGUCUGAACUGGUAUUAUAGAUGAUAUCACAAAUGUCAAAAUACUGAAAGAAAACAUGGGAGAAUUUUUAAAAACAUUUUUUUCCUUUCUACAUAAGUUACAAAUCCAAAAUCACAAUAGGAGAAAACUGAAAAAUAUGACAAAAAUCUAAAUUUCCCCAUGGUAAAAAGUACUAUAAUCAGGGCAAAACAGG